rnacentral:ncRNA from 1 species
CCCGGUUCGCCGGGACGAGAUGUGGUCUGGGUGACGCGGACUCCGCGUCGUCGCGACUGAAUCGCAAG